AGAGAGAGAGAGAUGGGGGCAAGCGACAGGUGGGCCCGGCAGUGCUUCUCGAAGCCGGUCACAGACCUGCGAGGCGCGUAGAAAACGUAUGCCUCGAUUCCAGACGCCCGGCCCACGCGUCGCCUUUCUCCAGACGCUCACCUUCCCCGGCGACCCACGGCGCGGAUCAUCGUCUCCCAUGGGGCCCGCGCGUCGCAGGAGCGGCAGCAUCACCCGUACCGCGCCAGGUGGGGUCCAGUCUUGUUCGGUCUUAGCAAAUUUGCGGGGCCCACUUUCGGGGAAGGAAGCGAAACGCGGUCAGCGCUGUCCUGCCUCGUUCAGGCGAUCCCCUCCCCCCGGUUCCCCGUCGGGAACAUUCAGCGGAGCCAACAAAGACACGUGAAGAGCAGCGCGCAAUCCGCAGCUCCCGCGGGACCGGCAGAUCGCGGGGCGGUGUUUGCGGGAUGACGCGCAUCGCACGAGUCGGGGUCCAUCUCGUGGCCCAUUCCAACAAAGGGGCCCACAGCCGGCGGAAGAAGCAUUGUCUUCCUAUCGGUGGAACUAACUGAAUCCUGUUUGGAAUCUCUCAGGCGAUCUUCUCCAUCCGGUUCGAAGAAUGAAACGAGAAGAGUCGCCUAUUAAGUUUCAUUGAACCUAUUAAGUAACGUAACGAACUGCUACGCUAAUAAUGUGAAGCUAAUGACCGAUAUUUAGUCAUUAAAGCCGCUAUUUAUUCCUAAAAAAGGCAAAAAAGAAAAUAACGAUUCGGGAACGGUCGAGACAGCAACAGCUGUCAGGGAUUCGAACCUUACUAGAAUUCCUCCCUCACGGAUUAUUGCAGCGGAUCCGGAGGAAGCGGAGGGAGGGGGAACGUAUGAGCCGG
rnacentral:lncRNA from 1 species